rnacentral:rRNA from 1 species
GAUGAACGCUGGCGGCGUGCUUAACACAUGCAAGUCGAACGGUGAAGCGCCUUCCUUUUUGGUGGGUCUGGAUGAGUGGCGAACGGGUGAGUAACUCGUGAGUAACCUUCCCCCUUCUUCUGGAUAACCGCAUGAAAGAGUUGCUAAUACGGGAUAUUCUGGGUCUGUCGCAUGAUGGGUCUGGGAAAGUUUUUGUUUCGGUGGGGGAUGGACUCGCGGCCUAUCAGCUUGUUGGUGGGGUGAUGGCCUACCAAGGCGGUGACGAGUAGCCGGCCUGAGAGGGUCGACGACAACGCAGGGGAGGCGAGGCCGAGAAGACUACUACGGGAGGCAGUAGGGAAGAUUAUGGAACGAUGGGAGGAAGGCUGAUGCAACGCCGCGGCAGGGAUGAUGGAGUCCGGCGGGUAGAGAACCGCUAUCGCGAAAGAAGAAGGGCGGAAUCGAUUGUGGGUGGGUUGACGGUAGCUAAACAGAAAGCGCCGGCUAACUACGUG